rnacentral:rRNA from 1 species
CCUACGGUGGUCAGCAGUGAGGAAUAUUGGUCAAUGGCCGCAGGUCUGAACCAGCCAAGUCGCGUGAGGGAUGACGGUCCUAUGGAUUGUAAACCUCUUUUGUCAGGGAGCAAAGGGCGCCACGUGUGGCUUUUUGCGAGUACCUGAAGAAAAAGCAUCGGCUAACUCCGUGCCAGCAGCCGCGGUAAUACGGAGGAUGCGAGCGUUAUCCGGAUUUAUUGGGUUUAAAGGGUGCGCAGGCGGAAUGUCAAGUCAGCGGUAAAAUUUCGGGGCUCAACCCCGUCGUGCCGUUGAAACUGGCGUUCUUGAGUGAGCGAGAAGUAGGCGGAAUGCGUGGUGUAGCGGUGAAAUGCAUAGAUAUCACGCAGAACUCCGAUUGCGAAGGCAGCAUACCGGCGCUCAACUGACGCUCAUGCACGAAAGCGUGGGUAUCGAACAGGAUUAGAUACCCCAGUAGUC